AUUGAAAGAACUAACCUGCAGAAAAGGCUGCUGCCCUUCAAACUGUGUACUGUUGUCUAAGCUAGUUCAGAAGAAUACACGAGCUUCCUUCACAUACUCCAAUCUGUUGGUUUGACUUCUGAAGAACCAGCAGAGUUGGAAAGGCCUCGAGAUCUCUGUCCUGGUGCUGGCCUGGGGCUCCCCUAGGUCUCGCCUGAAAGUGUCCCAUUCACCACCAGUCUUCUACAAUGUUAUCCGGAAUGGAACGAAGUACUACACCCACAAGUCCUGAAGGUACUGACCAAAACAGGAGGGAGAGACGGGACCGGGGCUGCUGUGACUGGAGGCUGAUGGGGCUCCACCGUGCCCCAUCCUCUCAUCCCACAGUCUUCCUUCACAUCUGCUCUGCCCACCACAGCCCUGCUCUGGAGUUCUCUGCUCUGCCACUUCUGCCAUCCCCACCUAGGCAGACAGGUUUCAUCCAGCCUCCAGGACGGCCCACCCACUUGCUCCUGCAGCAGGCUGCUCUUCCCAGGUGCACAGCCCAGAGAAUUAAGUGCAUAUAUUUACCAGAAGACAUGACCAAAGCCAUUCCUGGGGUUGCCUUCAUGUAGCCAACAUCUGGAACUAACACCAAAGUUCAUUAGGCACAAAAUAAAAGAGUUAUCUGGAA
rnacentral:lncRNA from 1 species